rnacentral:rRNA from 1 species
UUGGGUUAGUCCCGGCCCNCAGCGCAACNANAGUCUUUAGUUGCCACCAUUAAGUUGGGCACUCUGGAGAGACUGCCGGUGACAAACCGGAGGAAGGUGGGGAUGACGUCAAGUCAGCAUGCCCCUUACGUCUUGGGCUACACACGUACUACAAUGCUUCGGACAAAGGGUUGCAAGCGUGCGAACGCAAGCUAAUCCCAUAAACCGAGGCUCAGUUCAGAUUGCAGGCUGCAACUCGCCUGCAUGAAGGCGGAAUCGCUAGUAAUCGCAGGUCAGCAUACUGCGGUGAAUACGUUCCCGGGCCUUGUACACACCGCCCGUCACACCAUGGGAGUUGGCCACGCCCGAAGUCGUUACUCCAACCGUUCGCGGAGGAGGAUGCCGAAGGCAGGGCUGAUGACUGGGGUGAAGUCGUAACAAGGUAACCA